rnacentral:rRNA from 1 species
UACAGAGGGCUCAAGCGUUGUUCGGAUUCAUUGGGCGUAAAGGGUGCGUAGGCGGCGCGGUAAGUCGGGUGUGAAAUCUCGGGGCUUAACUCCGAAACUGCAUUCGAUACUGGCGUGCUUGAGGACUGGAGAGGAGACUGGAAUUUACGGUGUAGCGGUGAAAUGCGUAGAUAUCGUAAGGAAGACCAGUGGCGAAGGCGGGUCUCUGGACAGUUCCUGACGCUGAGGCACGAAGGCCAGGGGAGCAAACGGG